CUAAAAUAUUUAUAAAAUCAAAAUAAAAAAUAAUGAACUAAAACGUAAUCUUAAAGAUAGCUGGUUUAAAGCUUACUAUUAUAUUUCUAUAAAAUAAAUUAUAGGUUAUUAACUUCAAAGCUUAUCCCUUAAACAAUAAAUAAGUUAAUAUUUUUACUUAAAAAAUUAAAUAAAAACAAAUAACUUUAAAAAAUUAAAUUUUUUCUUAAGAAACUAGAUAUCUUGGGAAACGAUUAACAUCUCAUUUCUAUAAAUAAUUUAAUAAUAAUUAUGAUACAUUAACUAUAAAUUAUUUAUAAAUCAACCCAAAUCGAGACAAGUAAAAUAAAUACUAAAAUUUUUAUAAACCCUGAUACAAAAGGUACAAUAAAUAAAAUCUACUUAAAAAA